rnacentral:rRNA from 1 species
UACGUAGGUGGCAAGCGUUGUCCGGAAUUAUUGGGCGUAAAGCGCGCGCAGGCGGUCCUUUAAGUCUGAUGUGAAAGCCCACGGCUCAACCGUGGAGGGUCAUUGGAAACUGGGGGACUUGAGUGCAGAAGAGGAAAGCGGAAUUCCACGUGUAGCGGUGAAAUGCGUAGAGAUGUGGAGGAACACCAGUGGCGAAGGCGGCUCACUGGAUCGAAACUGACGCUGAGGUGCGAAAGCUAGGGUAGCAAACGGG